CCCAAAAUCUAAAUAGUUCCCCCAAAAGUUUAGAUUUCCCUAUGAGAUUUCACAAUGAACAUUCAUCUCUCCCAUUACCCACCCCAAUCGCUAUUCUUUCGCUGAAACUGCUAGAUCGUCUCCUCUUAUCGAUUCCCACUACUACGCCCCUAAUGAAUCGCAACUGAGUAACCGAUGAACCACAACUGCACCACCAGAUGAUCUCUCAUCGCCGCUCAUACCUUGUCACUCAACUCUUCUUCGCUUCACUUCAGCCCCGGAAGCCUUCAACAUGUAUAUGUAUGAUUAUUUGUACAUGGGACAUGUGAAUAUAGAAUGACUGGAUGAGGUCUUCAAAGUUACUCAGAUCAGAUUGGACAUGGAUCUGGUACAAAUAAACAUCUUAGAGAGGAUGCAGAAAUCGCUAUGCAAGGACUCAUCAAUUUUGCUUAAUAUACAUCUAGUAUACAUCUGUAAGUUGCUAGCUGUUAAUAUUUUUAUAUGUAACCAGGUCAUCCAACUACUAGUUUUUUUAGUUUUAGCCUUUUAAGUUUGAUUCUUCAAGUUAUUAAGCAUACAAAUUCUAUUGAGCAUAAAAAUAUGUGAGAUAUACCUGGCAGAAUGGGUGGGUCAGGUUGGGCGCAGUGAUGGGUCAUAAUAGGUUCGUGUCAGAACAUGUCAUUUUUUUAUAAAAAGCUCAGUUUGGUUCGGGUCAGAAUCAGUUUUGAUACCAAUUGAUACAAGUCGGAAUGGGUCAACUCUAAUCUACAACAUAUUUUAUACUUUAGAUCCCUAUCGUCCCAGCUAACUAUAUUCCUUAUAUUCUGAACUUUUUUUAGUUAAGUUUUUUUCGUAGUAGCAUAUUUAGGGAAUCAGAGUGUAACGUGAAUGUGAAAUCUUAGCAGCGCCAGGUUUUUGAUAAAACGUCAGCGUCAGAACUCGCCCAAAAAUCUAAGUGCUAAAUCAUUCAAAAUCUAAGAGAAAUCACCAUAAAGAAUUACUAAAAAUUUAGAACAAGAAUUAAAUAAGCCAUAAAACUAGAGGUCUGCAUGGGCGAUGUGGGAACAUCAGCAUAGCAAGGCUUCACAUCUUUUAAAAAGCACAAGAAAGGGGGACAAUACUCCAUAAAUUUAUGGCCAUUUUACUUUGGGGUAUGUGAAUGACAAGUGGAGUUUUGAGAAGAUGAUCAGAUUGAAUUAACAACUUUACUUGGAUUACUUUGUUAUUUUGAAAUUGGAAAUAUAUGUUAAAGUACAACAUAAGAUAUUGAUUACAUUUAUGUUAUUGUGCUGGUGUAAUUGAGAUACUAUUCCAUAUUAAUAAAAAUUUUAGUACAUCAAACAAUGA